UUGAACGCUGGCGGCAGGCCUAACACAUGCAAGUCGAGCGGAUGAAGGGAGCUUGCUCCUGGAUUCAGCGGCGGACGGGUGAGUAAUGCCUAGGAAUCUGCCUGGUAGUGGGGGAUAACGUCCGGAAACGGGCGCUAAUACCGCAUACGUCCUGAGGGAGAAAGUGGGUGAUCUUCGGACCUCACGCUAUCAGAUGAGCCUAGGUCGGAUUAGCUAGUUGGUGGGGUAAAGGCCUACCAAGGCGACGAUCCGUAACUGGUCUGAGAGGAUGAUCAGUCACACUGGAACUGAGACACGGUCCAGACUCCUACGGGAGGCAGCAGUGGGGAAUAUUGGACAAUGGGCGAAAGCCUGAUCCAGCCAUGCCGCGUGUGUGAAGAAGGUCUUCGGAUUGUAAAGCACUUUAAGUUGGGAGGAAGGGCAGUAAGUUAAUACCUUGCUGUUUUGACGUUACCAACAGAAUAAGCACCGGCUAACUUCGUG
rnacentral:rRNA from 1 species